GAUGAACGCUGGCGGCGUGCCUAAUACAUGCAAGUCGAGCGAACAGACGAGGAUCUUGCUCCUCUGACGUUAGCGGCGGACGGGUGAGUAACACGUGGAUAACCUACCUAUAAGACUGGGAUAACUUCGGGAAACCGGAGCUAAUACCGGAUAAUAUAUUGAACCGCAUGGUUCAAUAGUGAAAGACGGUUUUGCUGUCACUUAUAGAUGGAUCCGCGCCGCAUUAGCUAGUUGGUAAGGUAACGGCUUACCAAGGCAACGAUGCGUAGCCGACCUGAGAGGGUGAUCGGCCACACUGGAACUGAGACACGGUCCAGACUCCUACGGGAGGCAGCAGUAGGGAAUCUUCCGCAAUGGGCGAAAGCCUGACGGAGCAACGCCGCGUGAGUGAUGAAGGUCUUCGGAUCGUAAAACUCUGUUAUUAGGGAAGAACAGAUGUGUAAGUAACUAUGCACGUCUUGACGGUACCUAAUCAGAAAGCCACGGCUAACUACGUG
rnacentral:rRNA from 1 species